rnacentral:rRNA from 1 species
CGAGCGGAUGAAGGGAGCUUGCUCCUGGAUUCAGCGGCGGACGGGUGAGUAAUGCCUAGGAAUCUGCCUGGUAGUGGGGGAUAACGUCCGGAAACGGGCGCUAAUACCGCAUACGUCCUGAGGGAGAAAGUGGGGGAUCUUCGGACCUCACGCUAUCAGAUGAGCCUAGGUCGGAUUAGCUAGUUGGUGGGGUAAAGGCCUACCAAGGCGACGAUCCGUAACUGGUCUGAGAGGAUGAUCAGCACACUGGAACUGAGACACGGUCCAGACUCCUACGGGAGGCAGCAGUGGGGAAUAUUGGACAAUGGGCGAAAGCCUGAUCCAGCCAUGCCGCGUGUGUGAAGAAGGUCUUCGGAUUGUAAAGCACUUUAAGUUGGGAGGAAGGGCAGUAAGUUAAUACCUUGCUGUUUUGACGUUACCAACAGAAUAAGCACCGGCUAACUUCGUGCCAGCAGCCGCGGUAAUACGAAGGGUGCAAGCGUUAAUCGGAAUUACUGGGCGUAAAGCGCGCGUAGGUGGUUCAGCAAGUUGGAUGUGAAAUCCCCGGGCUCAACCUGGGAACUGCAUCCAAAACUACUGAGCUAGAGUACGGUAGAGGGUGGUGGAAUUUCCUGUGUAGCGGUGAAAUGCGUAGAUAUAGGAAGGAACACCAGUGGCGAAGGCGACCACCUGGACUGAUACUGACACUGACGUGCGAAAGCGUGGGGGAGCAAACAGGAUUAGAUACCCUGGUAGUCCACGCCGUAAACGAUGUCGACUAGCCGUUGGGAUCCUUGAGAUCUUAGUGGCGCAGCUAACGCGAUAAGUCGACCGCCUGGGGAGUACGGCCGC